rnacentral:rRNA from 1 species
GAGUCGCGAGUCUUAGGGACUCGGCGUACCGCUCAGUAACACGUGGGUAACCUGCCCUAUGCUGGGGAAUAACCUCGGGAAACUGAGAAUAAUGCCCCAUAGUUCACCACGCCUGGAACGGUGGGUGGAUGAAAGCUCCGGCGGCAUAGGAUGGGCCUGCGGCGUAUCAGGUUGUAGGGGGUGUAACGUACCCUCUAGCCCUCUACGCGUACGGGUGUUGGGAGACAUAGCCCGGAGAUGGAUUCUGAGACACGAAUCCAGACCCUACGGGGUGCAGCAGGCGCGAAAACUUGGCAAUGCGAGAAAUCGUGACCAGGGAACUCCAAGUGCAUCGGGUAAGACCGGUGCUUUUCUUGACUCUAAAUAGGUCUUGGAAUAAGGGGUGGGUAAGGACGGUGCCAGCCGCCGCGGUAAUACCGGCGCCUCAAGUGGUAGUCGCUUUUAUUGGGCCUAAAACGUCCGUAGCCGGUCUGAUACAUUCGUGGGUAAAUCAACCAGCUCAACUGGUUGAAUUCUGCGAGGACGGUCAGACUUGGGACCGGGAGAGGUGUGGGGUACGCUCAGGGUAGGGGUAAAAUCCCUGUCAUCCUGAGCGGACCACCUGUUGCGAAAGGCGCCACACUAGAACGGAUCCGACGGUCA